UUGAAUUUUAAUGAAGAGUUUGGUUGUAGCUGGCCCAUUCAUUUGGGCAUGUGCACACCUUCCUCUUUCAUCCCACACACACCUGUGAACCUGUGAGACAGAGAUGGGGAAUUUACUUGCUGCUUUUUGGAAUACAAAGGCAAUAGGUUAUUGGACCCCCCCUCUGUCUACUCAAUUAAUAUAAACUCAAUUUAUUUUAAAACGAGUGUAAUGGAUGUAACACAUCUCAUAC
rnacentral:misc_RNA from 1 species